GAGAAGCUUGCUUCUCUGAUGUUAGCGGCGGACGGGUGAGUAACACGUGGAUAACCUACCUAUAAGACUGGGAUAACUUCGGGAAACCGGAGCUAAUACCGGAUAAUAUUUUGAACCGCAUGGUUCAAAAGUGAAAGACGGUCUUGCUGUCACUUAUAGAUGGAUCCGCGCUGCAUUAGCUAGUUGGUAAGGUAACGGCUUACCAAGGCAACGAUGCAUAGCCGACCUGAGAGGGUGAUCGGCCACACUGGAACUGAGACACGGUCCAGACUCCUACGGGAGGCAGCAGUAGGGAAUCUUCCGCAAUGGGCGAAAGCCUGACGGAGCAACGCCGCGUGAGUGAUGAAGGUCUUCGGAUCGUAAAACUCUGUUAUUAGGGAAGAACAUAUGUGUAAGUAACUGUGCACAUCUUGACGGUACCUAAUCAGAAAGCCACGGCUAACUACGUGCCAGCAGCCGCGGUAAUACGUAGGUGGCAAGCGUUAUCCGGAAUUAUUGGGCGUAAAGCGCGCGUAGGCGGUUUUUUAAGUCUGAUGUGAAAGCCCACGGCUCAACCGUGGAGGGUCAUUGGAAACUGGAAAACUUGAGUGCAGAAGAGGAAAGUGGAAUUCCAUGUGUAGCGGUGAAAUGCGCAGAGAUAUGGAGGAACACCAGUGGCGAAGGCGACUUUCUGGUCUGUAACUGACGCUGAUGUGCGAAAGCGUGGGGAUCAAACAGGAUUAGAUACCCUGGUAGUCCACGCCGUAAACGAUGAGUGCUAAGUGUUAGGGGGUUUCCGCCCCUUAGUGCUGCAGCUAACGCAUUAAGCACUCCGCCUGGGGAGUACGACCGCAAGGUUGAAACUCAAAGGAAUUGACGGGGACCCGCACAAGCGGUGGAGCAUGUGGUUUAAUUCGAAGCAACGCGAAGAACCUUACCAAAU
rnacentral:rRNA from 1 species